rnacentral:misc_RNA from 1 species
UUUCCGUAGGUGAACCUGCGGAAGGAUCAUUAAUGUGUUUGGGCCUCACGGCUCUUCAUUCCGACGCUGUGCGCCUUCGGGCUGCACGCUGAGGGAGCAUAUAUCCACCCCUGUGCACACACACGGUGGCGAGCUGGGUAACGGCUCGCCGCUGAUCUUUACACACGUCUAAAAGUCAUUGUAUGUUUAUUUGAGAUAAAAACAAAACUUUCAACAACGGAUCUCUUGGUUCUG